UGGCAAAAUUUGAUGCAGAGCGAGAGGCUUUGGAGGCACAGUUGCAGCUGGCCUUGAGAAAUGGGUUCUCAACACUGUAUGGACCCUGUAGAAAGUUCCAAGAGGUUGGUGAUUGGGGUAAUCCC